rnacentral:rRNA from 1 species
CCUACGGGAGGCAGCAGUAGGGAAUUUUCGGCAAUGGGGGGAACCCUGACCGAGCAACGCCGCGUGAAGGAAGAAGGAAUUCGUUCUGUAAACUUCUGUUAUAAAGGAAGAAAGACGGAUUGAGGGAAUGACAUCCGAGUGACGGUACUUUAUUAGAACGGCACGGCUAACUACGUGCCAGCAGCCGCGGUAAUACGUAGGUGGCAAGCGUUAUCCGGAAUUAUUGGGCGAAAAGAGGGAGCGGGAGGAAGCAAAGGUCUGUGGUGAAAGACUGAAGCUUAACUUAAGUAAGCCAUAGAAACCGGGCAGCUAGAGUGCAGGAGAGGAGCGUGGAAUUCCAUGUGUAGCGGUGAAAUGCGUAGAUAUAUGGAGGAACACCAGUGGCGAAGGCGACGAUCUGGCCUGGAACUGACGCUCAGGCUCGAAAGCGUGGGGAGCAAAUAGGAUUAGAUACCCUAGUAGUC